GGAAGAAUCGAUGACGGUACCUGAUGAAUCAGCAUCGGCUAACUCCGUGCCAGCAGCCGCGGUAAUACGGAGGAUGCAAGCGUUAUCCGGAAUUAUUGGGCGUAAAGCGUCCGUAGGUGGUUUAUCAAGUCUGCUGUCAAAGCGUGCGGCUUAACCGCAUAAGGGCAGUGGAAACUGAUGAACUAGAGUGCGAUAGGGGUAACAGGAAUUCCCAGUGUAGCGGUGAAAUGCGUAGAUAUUGGGAAGAACACCAGCGGCGAAAGCGUGUUACUGGGUCUGCACUGACACUGAGGGACGAAAGCUAGGGGAGCGAAAGGGAUUAGAUACCCCUGUAGUCCUAGCCGUAAACGAUGACAACUAGGCGUGGUUCGUAUCGACCCGAGCCGUGCCGUAGCCAACGCGUUAAGUUGUCCGCCUGGGGAGUACGCACGCAAGUGUGAAACUCAAAGGAAUUGACGGGGGCCCGCACAAGCGGUGGAGUAUGUGGUUUAAUUCGAUGCAACGCGAAGAACCUUACCAAGGCUUGACAUCCUCGGAACCCUGAUGAAAGUUAGGGGUGCCUUCGGGAGCCGAGAGACAGGUGGUGCAUGGCUGUCGUCAGCUCGUGUCGUGAGAUGUUGGGUUAAGUCCCGCAACGAGCGCAACCCACGUUUUUAGUUGCCAGCAUUCAGUUGGGCACUCUAGAGAGACUGCCGGUGACAAACCGGAGGAAGGUGUGGAUGACGUCAAGUCAGCAUGCCCCAUACGCCUUGGGCUACACACGUACUACAAUGCGUCGGACAAAGAGCAGCCAGCCAGCGAUGGUGAG
rnacentral:rRNA from 1 species